rnacentral:rRNA from 1 species
UACGUAGGGGGCAAGCGUUUGUCCGGAAUUAUUGGGCGUAAAGAGCUCGUAGGCGGUUUGUCGCGUCUGCCGUGAAAGUCCGGGGCUCAACUCCGGAUCUGCGGUGGGUACGGGCAGACUAGAGUGCGGUAGGGGAGAUCGGAAUUCCUGGUGUAGCGGUGAAAUGCGCAGAUAUCAGGAGGAACACCGGUGGCGAAGGCGGAUCUCUGGGCCGUAACUGACGCUGAGGAGCGAAAGCAUGGGAGCGAACAGG